GACGAACGCUGGCGGCGUGCUUAACACAUGCAAGUCGAACGGAAAGGCCCUGCUUUUGUGGGGUGCUCGAGUGGCGAACGGGUGGGUAACACGUGAGUAACCUGCCCUUGACUUUGGGAUAACUUCAGGAAACUGGGGCUAAUACCGGAUAGGAGCUCCUGCUGCAUGGUGGGGGUUGGAAAGUUUCGGCGGUUGGGGAUGGACUCGCGGCUUAUCAGCUUGUUGGUGGGGUAGUGGCUUACCAAGGCUUUGACGGGUAGCCGGCCUGAGAGGGUGACCGGCCACAUUGGGACUGAGAUACGGCCCAGACUCCUACGGGAGGCAGCAGUGGGGAAUAUUGCACAAUGGGCGGAAGCCUGAUGCAGCAACGCCGCGUGCGGGAUGACGGCCUUCGGGUUGUAAACCGCUUUCGCCUGUGACGAAGCGUGAGUGACGGUAAUGGGUAAGGAAGCACCGGCUAACUACGUG
rnacentral:rRNA from 1 species